rnacentral:rRNA from 1 species
UACGUAGGGGGCAAGCGUUGUCCGGAUUCAUUGGGCGUAAAGAGCGUGUAGGCGGCCAGGUAGGUCGGUUGUGAAAACUGGAGGCUCAACCUUCAGAGGUCGACCGAAACCAUCUGGCUAGAGUCCGGGAGAGGAGAGUGGAAUUCCUGGUGUAGCGGUGAAAUGCUCAGAGAUGACAUAGAACACCUAUUGCGAAGGCAGCUUACUACGCAGAUAUUGACGCUCAUGCACGAAAGCGUGGGGAUCAAACAGG